CCUGGUUGAUCCUACCAGUAGCAUUUGCUUGUCUCAAAGAUAAGGCCAUCCACAUUUAAGUACACACAGCCAGUACAUUGAAACUACAAAUGGCUCAUUAAAUCUGUUACGGUUCGUUUGAUCGCUCCAUCUGUUACUUGGAUAACUGUUAAUUCUACAGCUAAUACAUGCCAAGGAGUGCUGACCUCACAGGAUGCAUGCAUUUAUCAGACCACAGCCAAUCCAGGCUCACCCGACCACUUUGGCAACUGAUCACACGUCCCUGUGACAGUACAUCUGGAUGGCUGCCCUAUCAACUUUCAAUGGUACUUUCUCUGCCUUCCAUGGUAACCACAGGUAACAAGGAAUCAGGAUUAGAUCACAGAGAAUGAGCCUGAGAAACAGCUACCACAUCCAAGGAGGGCAGCAAGCAUGCACAUUUCCCACUCUCAACUCAGCGAGGUAGUGACGAAAACAAUACAGGACUCUUUCGAGUCCCUGUAAUUGGAAUGAGUACACUUUAAAUCCUUCAACGAGGAUCCAUUGGAGGGCAAGUGUGAUGGCAGCAGCUGCGGUAAUUCCAGCUCCAAUAGUGCAUAUUAAACUUGCUUCAGUUAAAAAGGCUUAUAGUUGGAUCUUGGGAUCGAGCUGGCGAGCCACUGCAUCUCCCAGCCCCUGCCUCAGCAUCCGCAUGAUGCUCUGGACUACUGAGUGUCCAGGGGUUCGAAGCAUCUACUUUGAAAACAUUGGACUGUUCAAAACAGACCGGUCACCUGAAUGCUUCAAAUACAAAUAAUGGAAUAGGAUUCAGUGCUAUUUUGUUGGUUUUCAGAACUGGGGCCAUAAUUAAGAGGAACGGCCAGGGCAUUCAUAUUGUGCUGCUAGAGGUGACCUUUUUGGACCAGCAUGAGAUGAACCAAAGCAAAAGUAUUUGGCAAGAAGGUUGUCAUAAAUCAAAAAUGAAAAUGGGAGGUUCGAAGACUGUUAGAUAACAUCAUAAUUCUGACCAUAAACAAUGCCGGCGAACGAUCUGGCAGCAUUAUUCCCCAGACCCGCCGAGCACUGCAGAGAAACCAAAAUCUUUGGGUUCCGGGGGGGGGGGGGGCGAGUGUGGCCGGCUGAAACUUAAAUGAAUUGACAGAGAGAGGCACCACCAGGAGUGGAACCUGUGGCCUAGUUUGACUCCGACCCGGACGUGGAAAGGAUUGCCCGCUCUCUCGAUUUUGUGGGUGGUGGCGCACAGCCAUUCUUAGUUGGUAGAGGGAUUUUUCUAGUGAAUUUCCGAUAAUGGAGGAGACUCCUCCAUGCCAACUAGUUACGACCCCAGCGGUUGAAGUUCAAAUUCUUACAGGGACAAGUAGCAUUGAGCCACACAGAUCAAGCAAUAACAGGUCUGUGAUGACCAAUAUGUCUGGGGCUGCAUGCACACUACACUGAAUGGAUCAGGUUGUGUCUACCCUUUGCCGACAGGAAGAGGCAUUGCUAGGGGGCUAUAGACCCAGAUCUUUUGUUGUACACCCGGGGGGCUACAACCAAAAGGCUCGUAAUCAUGAGUCCCGACAGUCCCAACAUUAGCAUAACCCCAGAUCUUUUCCAGACCUAGCAACAACCCUACCGACGGGUGCGGGUAACCUGUUGAACCCAGUUUGUGAUGGGGAUUGGGGAUUGCAAUUAUUUCCAUGAGUGACGGAAUCCCAUUAAGAGUGGGUCAAAAGCCUGCAUUGAUUAAGUCCACUGGCGUAGCAGAGGCCAUUUGCAGCCCCUGCGGUGC
rnacentral:rRNA from 1 species